rnacentral:ncRNA from 1 species
AUUUCAUAUGUGGGAACAGGUUCCUUGAGGCAUAUCUCGCCCCAAGGAUAAUAGGGAAGCUCGGUGCAAAUCCGACACGGUCCCGCCACUGUAAGAGGGGAGUUUUGCGCAUACAGGCCACUUGUCCAGACUGGAUGGGGAAGGCAGCGCCGGACGAUGAUCCCAAAGUCAGGAGACCUGCCUGUUUCGACGACACUGA